rnacentral:rRNA from 1 species
ACACGCCUACAAUGUAGCGUUAAUGCACCAAAUCUAAUUAGAACUCCGCAGUUAAGCGUGCUCAGGCUAGAGUAGUAAUGCAAUGGGUGACCGCCUGAGAAGUCCUAGUAUUUUACAUGCC